rnacentral:pre_miRNA from 1 species
CAACUAGUCCCUCUGUCCCAAAUUUCUUGUCUUAGAUUUGUCUAGAUACGGAUGUAUCUAAUACUAAAAUGUGACUUGAUACAUCCGUAUCUAGACGAAUCUAAGACAAGAAUUUUGGGACGGAGGGAGUACUUU